rnacentral:lncRNA from 1 species
CCUGACUGGGUACCUCCUGCCCACGCACAGAAGUGACGAUGGAGCCAGGGGUCAGCUGUGUCCAUGUGCGGCUGGGGUGGGUGACACCAUCAUGGUGGGUGAAUGUCAGCACUCCCUGCAUGGGGUGACGAAACCAUCCCGUUCAUUUUGUUCUUGUGAUUGAUUAAAUCUGGCUUUUGUGGGCCCAUAAAAAGGGAGGCAAUGGGGCAACUCUGGUUUCAGUGCAGACGUGAACUGCCCCUGCAGGUGCUUCACCCCUGAGAAUUUCUGCUCAGUCACCUGCUGGGAACGGCUGUCCUGUGAUGCUGUGACACUGUGUCUGGGCCUGGCUACAGAGAAGGGGACCUGGGAGCACCAAACACACGUGGGGACUAUGGCCAGAAGCCACUGGGGAGCCUGGGCCAAUUCUGUCGCAGAAUAGUAAGACCUCUGAGGACGGUACCUCUGCCUGUGAUUUUAAUCGCUGUCACCCAGAUCGCCCAUCAGAGACUGCACGCGUUCCUCUCCGUGGUUCCUCCCGCUCUCGAAUAAUCCCUCUCAAGGUUUUACGUGUGUCAUCUGUAAGCCCCGUGUUGUUGGCUACGGUAACUCAUGGCAUGAAUGCAGUUGCCCAUCACGGUCUGAUUCUCAGCUUCGCCUGUGCACACUCGGAUCCACACAGCCUCACUGGUUGCGCUGUUUCACCCCCACCGAGGUCACAGACCCACACGUCCCCUCCUGUUGCAGAGCCCACGGGAUACCCACCCCUCCUGCAAUUCCCACCUGUCGCCUCCAUUUCCAGCAUGUUUAAGUGCUGUGAAAGUGGAAAGUCUAAAUGCCUUGGCCUCUUGGGCUGGGAGACAGGUGAGUGUCUGGUUGUAUGAGAAGUCCUGCGUGCCUGCCUCACCUGAUGGGCCACUAGCCAAGCAUGAGGGAACACCCUCACCAGGGACAGCAGUGUUGUCGCUGUUCUUUAUUUUAGCUGCUCUGGUAGGUGACCUCUUACCGCGGUUUCCAUGUGCAUUUCCCUGAGGGCUGGCCGUGUCCUUUUUACCAUCUGUGGAUCGUCUUCAGUGAAAUGCCUGUUCACGUCUUUCAUCCAAAAAAUUUGGGUUGUUUGCUUUAACAUUUAGUUUUGAAAGUUUUUUUUUUUUUUUUAAUAUAGUCUGGGUACAAUCCUUUGCGGGUUAUGGGUAGACAUUUUGUACUUCUCAGAUGGACUUUCACAAAAGCUUUUGAUUUUGACGUUGUCCAAUUUAUCAGCUUUUUUUUUCUUUAUAGGUAAGGCUGGUGUGUCAACCUAAUUCUUCUUGACUAGCCUAGACCUCGAAGAGUUUGUCUUUCUUUUCCUAAGAGUUUUGUACUUUACAUUUAACAUUUAAUCCCGGUAUUCAUUAAUUUUUGUGUGAGGUGUAUGCUUUAGGUCAAGAUUUAUAAUUUUUGCAUAUGGGUGUCGAGUGACCCCAGCACCAUUUGUUGAAAAUACUUUCUGCCACAGAGUUCUUUUCGCAUCUUUGUCAGAAAUAAAUUCAGCAUAUCUGUGUGGGUCUGUAUUUGG